UCUUUAGCUAGCUCCUCUGAGCUUAUCUCUUUUGUAUAGAUCCUUCGUGAGAAGAAUUAUGUGGCUGAUGGUUUAGCAAAACAUAUGUUGUCUAUUGAGUUAGCCAUUAAUGCUCCACCAAACUUUGGCUAAUGCCUUAACAGUUUGAUCAUGGCACAUGCUCCUUAAAGAUAGAUUCUCGUUUCUCAUACUAAUUUUCCUGCUGAUUGUAUAAACUUGGAUUAUGGAUUAUUAAUGAAAAAUCUGAAUGUUUCGUUGCUCUUGUUUGGGUGUGGUCUGUAACUUUUUUGGAUGCUAAACACAGGUCUUAGAGGAAACUGGAUUUGAUGUCACAAAGCUAUUGAAGAAAGAAGAAUUUAUUGAGUUUACAUUCAGACAGCAAAGAGUGCGACUUUACAUAGUUGCUGGGGUGACAGAUGAUACAGCUUUUGCACCAAAAACAAACAAAGAAAUCAGUGAGAUUGCAUGGCAUCGGCUUGAUCAUCUUCAGCCAGCAAGUAAUGAGGCGAUAACUCAUGAAGUUGCUGCUCUCAAGUUGUAUAUGGUGGCACCUUUUCUUGCGUCGUUGAAGUCGUGGAUAUCAAAGCAUCAUGCUCCUGCUCAGAAGCUUCAAGUUCAACAGGUCAGCAAUCUUGGAAUCAGGAUUUUCAGCUUGACUAGUCCAAUGGAGAUAUCACCAAUCAUUCAACUUCUAAAAAAAAAAAUUUUUAAGAACCUCAAAGAGGUUUUCCCAUUGGACCAUGAAAAAUUUAAUUACACUAACAAAAGUUCUAAACUUCUCAAAUCCCAAAAUCGACUAUUAAAUUACUGAUUAGAGCUCAUUCUGUGUUAUUACCAUUGGACUUGCUCUUAGGAUUUUUAAUGAUUCUCAACGUCAUUGCGGUAUUGGUGAUC